UACGAAGGGGGCUAGCGUUGUUCGGAAUUACUGGGCGUAAAGGGCGCGUAGGCGGUCCUGAUCGUCGGAUGUGAAAGGCCUGGGCUCAACCUGGGAAUGGCAUCCGAUACGGCGGGACUGGAGUGUGGGAGAGGUUGGUGGAAUUCCCAGUGUAGAGGUGAAAUUCGUAGAUAUUGGGAAGAACACCGGUGGCGAAGGCGGCCAACUGGACCACAACUGACGCUGAGGCGCGAAAGCGUGGGGAGCAAAACAGG
rnacentral:rRNA from 1 species